AAAAAAAUUUGUUUGCUCUAAGAAUAUAUUAAAUGGACGUAACUAUUAAAAAAAAUCUGUUUGAAAGUUUUUAACACUAAUCAUAAAUAAAUUAGAUGCAUAUCAACUGAAGAUAUGAAAAGAGAACAAAGCACGUGAGAUACCCUCAGUCAACGUCAAGCGAUUUUGGGAAAACAGGAAAAGUAAAAGUGGUUGGAAGAAAAAGGCAGUGCGAAGACUUGUCUUUUGGGCAUUAACUACAGUGAAUAAAUAUCUAUCUAAUUUUCUAAGCAAGCCAUUGACAUUUUGUAACAUACAGAUCCAACUUAGCCAGCUCCUGAUUGGUUAGCUAGCUACCAAACAAAAACAAUUGCAUGCUUUUUCUCCAUACGCAGGACAGGUGUGGUGCAUGCAUUGGGUGCGUAUGUUACAGAAUCUGUAAGGUAGACAGGUCCUAUUAUUAUUAUUUUGUAUCCCCACUUUCCCACCGACACUCUAAUUAUGGUCAUCUUAUCGGUUAUCACUCCUGGUCUUGGAUACGUGUUAUUAUGACAAUAAAUUGAGAUAAAAUAGAUUACUAAUAUUUAUUUCCCUUUUUUUUCCCAAAAUCUUAGAACUAAUUGUGG
rnacentral:lncRNA from 1 species